rnacentral:rRNA from 1 species
UACGGAGGGUGCAAGCGUUAUCCGGAUUCACUGGGUUUAAAGGGUGCGUAGGUGGGCAGUUAAGUCAGUGGUGAAACCUCCGGGCUCAACCCGGAAACUGCCAUUGAUACUAUCUGUCUUGAAUAUCGUGGAGGUAAGCGGAAUAUGUCAUGUAGCGGUGAAAUGCUUAGAUAUGACAUAGAACACCAAUUGCGAAGGCAGCUUACUACCCGAAUAUUGACACUGAGGCACGAAAGCGUGGGGAGCAAACAGG